UUUGAACAACAUUCUCAGAUAACUUCAAAUAGAGCUACUGGUGAUGAUUGUGUUCAUCACCAGUGCUUCUCUUUGGGGUUGUCUUAGUCA
rnacentral:pre_miRNA from 1 species